rnacentral:rRNA from 1 species
GAUGAACGCUAGCUACAGGCUUAACACAUGCAAGUCGAGGGGCAGCGGGAUUUAAGCUUGCUUCAAUUGCCGGCGACCGGCGCACGGGUGAUUAACGCGUAUCCAACCUUCCUUACACUCAUGGAUAGCCUUUCGAAAGAAAGAUUAAUACCGGAUGGUAUGAUGAGAUUGCAUGAUAUCAUCAUUAAAGAUUUAUCGGUGUACGAUGGGGAUUCGUUCCAUUAGGUAGUAGGCGGGGUAACGGCCCACCUAGACAACGAUGGAUAGGGGUUCAGAGAGGACGGUCCCGCACAUUGGAACUGAGACACGGUCAAAAAGACUACGGGCGGAAGCCGUGAGGAAUAAGGGUAAAUGGACGAGACUCUGAAGCAGCCAAGUAGAGUGAAGGAUGACGGUUGUACGGAUUGUAAACUUCUUUUAUAAGCGACUAACCCCCAUCACGUGUGGGAGUUUGUAGGUACCUUAUGAAUAAGCACCGGCUAACUACGUG